GGGUGCUUAGCUCAGCUGGGAGAGCGUCGCCCUUACAAGGCGAAGGUCGUGGGUUCGAUCCCCUCAGCACCCA
rnacentral:tRNA from 1 species